AAUACAUCAUCUUUCCCACUGCCGCAUAAGCAGUGUUCGUUUUUCGAGAGGCAUUGAUUGAUUCCGUAGUUUCGCAAGGCCAAGGCUGUCCGGGGAAAGCUUUAGUUUACUAUUGGCUACGCCGACAUGCCCUGCCACUGACGUUGGUGAUGAACGUGGUGAUGCUGAUGAUUGGAAAGGAGAAUUUUUCCCGAGCAUUCCUAACACUAAGUAUGAGGGUCAUUCAUGCAAGAAGAACCCACUAGCAUAUAAGUGGGAAUAAUGCCGAAGAGGAGAUACUAGGCAAGAAAAUGAAGGAUUGGCUAAGAUUCAGCUUCGCCUUUUGGCACACGUUCAGGGGAACAGGAGGUGACCCGUUUGGUGCUGCCACAAAGUUUUGGCCCCGGGAGGAUGGCACGAAUGCUUUGGCUAUGGCCAAAAGGAGAAUGAGGGCCAACUUUCAGUUCUUGAAGAAACUUGGAGUUGAUUGAUGGUGCUUCCAUGACAAGGAUACAGCUCCUGAUGGCAAGACAUUGCAGGU